rnacentral:rRNA from 1 species
AUACGGAGGGUGCAAGCGUUACUCGGAAUCACUGGGCGUAAAGCGCGCGCAGGCGGCUUGAUAAGUUGGAUGUGAAAGCCUACGGCUCAACCGUAGAACUGCAUCCAAAACUGUCAAGCUAGAGUCUGGGAGGGGAAGAUGGAAUUAGUUGUGUAGGGGUAAAAUCCGUAGAGAUAACUAGGAAUACCAAAAGCGAAGGCAAUCUUCUGGAACACUACUGACGCUGAGGCGCGAAAGCGUGGGGAGCAAACAGGAUUAGAAACCCUAGUAGUCC